GAGUGAAUGUUGUUACACUAGAUUAUUGACAUAAUUUAAUCAAGAACAGUAUUAUUUUACGGGACUCUUAUUUUGAAAACCUUUGUUUUGGAAACUCCACAGUUGUUAAUGGUUAGGUGAUCAUAAAUUUAAUAAUUUGCGUUGUUUUCAAUUCUUCAUACAUGUAUAUUGUUAUUUUUUUUGUAUUACUUUUGGUUUCACUCUUGAUAAAUAUUUUUACACUAAAUUAAGGAAGCACUAUUACGUAAGCUGCGUCAUGCGUGAGGGUAAUGCUGAUGCAAUUUGCGUGCGCGCUCUCUCUUUCGCUGGAUGUUGUGGCGAGAGGCACGGCUAGACCGGAAAUGUCCAAAAUGUGCUUGACUGUGAUCGUGUCUGUUAUUUCUUUUGACACAGACACAGCAAGGCUGAGAGUAAAGAAAAACUAAAGUACAUCACUGUGUGGGAUCUUUUUCUUUAAAAAUCAAACACAACG